rnacentral:rRNA from 1 species
UAGGGAAUAUUGGACAAUGGGCGCAAGCCUGAUCCAGCCAUGCCGCGUGAGUGAAGAAGGCCCUCGGGUUGUAAAGCUCUUUUGUCCGGAAAGAAAAGCAUUCGGUGAAUACCCGGAUGUUCUGACGGUACCGGAAGAAUAAGCACCGGCUAACUUCGUGCCAGCAGCCGCGGUAAUACGAAGGGUGCAAGCGUUACUCGGAAUUACUGGGCGUAAAGCGUGCGUAGGUGGUUGUUUAAGUCUGAUGUGAAAGCCCUGGGCUCAACCUGGGAAUGGCAUUGGAAACUGGGCACCUAGAGUGCGGUAGAGGGUAGUGGAAUUCCCGGUGUAGCAGUGAAAUGCGUAGAGAUCGGGAGGAACAUCUGUGGCGAAGGCGACUGCCUGGACCAGCACUGACACUGAGGCACGAAAGCGUGGGGAGCAAACA